GAUGAACGCUAGCUACAGGCUUAACACAUGCAAGUCGAGCGGUUUGUGCUUUUGCACAUUCAGCGGCAGACGGGUGAGUAACACGUAUCUAACCUUCCCCUUACUUGGGCAUAGCCUCUGGAAACGGAGAUUAAUUUCCGAUGUGGUGUACAUUUCGCAUGUUUUGCGCACCAAAGAUUUAUCGGUAAGGGAUGGGGGAUGCGCUCCAUUAGGUAGUAGGUAGGGUAAUGGCCUACCUAGCCUAUGAUGGAUAGGGGUUCUGAGAGGAAGGUCCCCCACAUUGGAACUGCGACACGGUCCAAACUCCUACGGGAGGCAGCAGUGAGGAAUAUUGGUCAAUGGCCGGAAGGCUGAACCAGCCAAGUAGCGUGCAGGAAGACUGCCUUAUGGGUUGUAAACUGCUUUUUACGGGAAUAAUUAUGAUCACGUGUGAUUAUUUGUCAUGUACCGUAAGAAUAAGGAUCGGCUAACUCCGUGCCAGCAGCCGCGGUAAACACGAGAGUAC
rnacentral:rRNA from 1 species